UACAGAGGUCUCAAGCGUUGUUCGGAUUCAUUGGGCGUAAAGGGUGCGUAGGCGGCGCGGUAAGUCGGGUGUGAAAUUUCGAGGCUUAACUCGAAACUGCAUUCGAUACUGCCGUGCUCGAGGACUGGAGAGGAGACUGGAAUUUACGGUGUAGCGGUGAAAUGCGUAGAUAUCGUAAGGAAGACCAGUGGCGAAGGCGGGUCUCUGGACAGUUCCUGACGCUGAGGCACGAAGGCCAGGGGAGCAAACGGG
rnacentral:rRNA from 1 species